CCCCAUCCCACGGCGCUGCGGUGCGACGCCGAGGAGCUGCGGCGGCAGCUGCGGCAGCUGGAGAAGCACGGGAGGAGGAGGAGGAGGAGGAGGAGGAGCGGGGCCUUCCUCCCGACGUGUACGUGGCGCAGCUCUACUACGAGAUCAGCAGGAUCGACUGGGACUACGGCGCCGAGCCGGGGAGGAUCCGCGGCGUUCACCACGGCCCCGACAUCGCCGUGCCCCUGGACCUGGAGGCGUCGCGCCACUCGGGCACCUUCGUCUGCGACUACCUCUGGGGGCUGGUGCCCGCCCAGUGGGGGCCCCGCAGAGCCCCCCCGGACCCCUCCCCGAAUUAACCCACUCCGUUCCCGCACCCAGCGCGGCCGUCCCCGAAA